UUGUUGCUGCCUUAGGUUGAUGCACUUGGAUUCAAGUCUAAGAUGCAGUUAAGGCAGAAGUAAAAAUGGCCUAAGUAACUUGUAUUGAAUCUGUUUAGAUCUUGCAUAUACUUAGAUAAAUUGCUUGCAAAGAUUAGAACUUGAAUAUGUCUUGUGUAAUCUGUUGCAAUGCUUGUGAUAUUGGUGAUCAACCUUGAUGAUAUUUCAAGGAUUGAUUCCAAUACCUUUGUGUCUUAUCUUUGCUGGAGUUUGAGUGGUGUUUCAGGUUCACAAGAAGUGUUCUUUGCUCACCAUCCACCCAAGUAGAAGAGGAAGACUUUGCCAUUGUUAAAGCAAUGGAGAAAG
rnacentral:lncRNA from 1 species